GCCCCGGUUAGCAUUUCCUGAGAAAUAUGAUGGAGAUCCAACUCAGUGCAAGGGGUCCCUACUUAAGUGUACCAUGUUUGCCAAUCAACAACCAGCCCUGUACGCCACUGAGGAGGGGAGGAUUUCCUUUGUUUGCUCAUUACUCAGAGGACGAGCUUUAGAGUGGAUGACAGCAGUAUGGGGAGAAAAUUAUUCAAGUGAUGGAAGGAGUGCGGGCGAUCACUUGCUGGCUAUCACGCAGGGAAGGAGAUCAGCGGCAGAGUAUGCACUAUCAUUUCGAACCCUCACAGCUCAAACCACCUGGGUGGAGGACACUCUAAAGUAACCACGGAUCACCCCGAGCCCAUGCAAGUGGAUACUUACCACAUCUUUCUGGAGGAGAGAGAGCAACGCCUCACUUUGAAGUUGUGCCUCUACUGUGGUGAGACCGGUCACCUGAUAAUCAAC
ensembl:lncRNA